rnacentral:lncRNA from 1 species
GGUGCCCCGUGUGUGUGCUACGGAUAGCUCACGAAAAAUCUUUAUCAACGCCUGCUUGGAUCAUAGCUCCGGAUUUUGGACAAACCAUCUGCUAUCAAACUCCGAAGUUCCAAGGGCCCUGGACUCCGGACACUGGAUUCUGCUGGUCGGUAAUCCUCGUAGAUAGCCAUCUGAACCGGUAAGCUCGUUCCAACCUUACGAGAUGGGAUCAAAUAUCUCUAGAGGAGAACAGGCAAUCUUAGAAAAAUUAGAGACUGUUAUCGAACAGUAUCAUUAUAAAAUUCCUAGGAAUGAAUUAGAAUUAUUGUUAUUGUGGAUAAAAGAGAAUUACCCUAGAAUAACAGAAGAGCAAAUAUUUCAACCAUGUAUAUGGGCAACUAUAAAAAUGAAAUUACAAGAAUCAAAAAUCCCAGAGACAUGGGUACCAGAAAAAAUGAUAGAGAGAUGUGAUAUUCUUUUUGAUGUAAUGUAUCAGUAUCAUUUUCCGAGAUUGCCUUCCCUGGAAAGUGGGGAGGGAAGAGAUAUUGAACUGCCCUUUCUGGAGCAUCAGGAAGCUCCAAAAAGCCUCAGUGGCACAGUUACCCCUAACCCCAUCCCUUCGGAACGUGUGGGGGAGGAGGGAGGACUGCGAGAGGUUGCGGAACGUCAAAAAAGUCCCACCGAGGCUUCAGAAAGCAAAGUGAGCAGUUUGCUACAGUAUUGGAGACAAAAAAGUCGCGCGCGGAGACAUGAGCAGUGGCAUAGAGUCUUUAUGGAAUUAAUACAAUCAGAAGAAGUAGCGGGGGGGGUGAAGAAAGUACUAGAAAACAUUCAUGCUUUUUCUAAAACCACGCCUUUAGAACAACCCCCUUACCCGCCUUUGUCAGAGGAGCCAGAGCGAGGGAGGGAGUUCUCCCCGCCCUCUGACAAAACAAAUAGCCCAGAGACGACAUCAAAGGAAAUUAUUAAGAUAGAGCAUGCCCAACAGGCUAGCUCAAAUAUACCCGCCCAGCAGGCGGAAUUAGAGGCUGUCCUAGAGGAGGAGCCACAAGGAGCGGCGGGAAACGGCGGAUUGGCCGCGCCGCACGGAGACCCCGGAAAUAAUGGGGAGAAAUCAGGAGCAAUACCAAAGCGCCGCCUUAAAAAGGCAGGCAAAGGAAAGGGGCCGACCAAAGCUGUAAAGGCACGCCCCACAGGGAGACCAGUGACGCGGUCCAUGACGCGGAGGACCCAACCCACCAAGGCGGAGAUUGGGGAAGCCCCCUGCCAAACCGCGCAUGCGCAGUCCGGCACAGCUACCGAGUCUGCGCACUUUAAAUAUAAAGACAAUUUGGCAACUAAGAAAGAAUCAUCUACCAUAAGCAUCAUUAGUACUGAGAGGGAUUCAUCUCUUAAAGAGGAUUAUCCCCCUGAUUCUGCAUUUUUAGACUUUUUCNNNNNNNNNNNNNNNNNNNNNNNNNNNNNNNNNNNNNNNNNNNNNNNNNNN